rnacentral:rRNA from 1 species
GAUGAACGCUAGCGACAGGCUUAACACAUGCAAGUCGAGGGGCAGCACAGGUAGCAAUACCGGGUGGCGACCGGCGCACGGGUGAGUAACGCGUAUGCAACUUGCCUAUCAGAGGGGGAUAACCCGGCGAAAGUCGGACUAAUACCGCAUGAAGCAGGGAUCCCGCAUGGGAAUAUUUGCUAAAGAUUCAUCGCUGAUAGAUAGGCAUGCGUUCCAUUAGGCAGUUGGCGGGGUAACGGCCCACCAAACCGACGAUGGAUAGGGGUUCUGAGAGGAAGGUCCCCCACAUUGGUACUGAGACACGGACCAAACUCCUACGGGAGGCAGCAGUGAGGAAUAUUGGUCAAUGGCCGAGAGGCUGAACCAGCCAAGUCGCGUGAGGGAUGAAGGUUCUAUGGAUCGUAAACCUCUUUUAUAAGGGAAUAAAGUGCGGGACGUGUCCCGUUUUGUAUGUACCUUAUGAAUAAGGAUCGGCUAACUCCGUGCCAGCAGCCGCGGUAAUACGGAGGAUCCGAGCGUUAUCCGGAUUUAUUGGGUUUAAAGGGUGCGUAGGCGGCCUUUUAAGUCAGCGGUGAAAGUCUGUGGCUCAACCAUAGAAUUGCCGUUGAAACUGGGGGGCUUGAGUAUGUUUGAGGCAGGCGGAAUGCGUGGUGUAGCGGUGAAAUGCAUAGAUAUCACGCAGAACCCCGAUUGCGAAGGCAGCCUGCCAAGCCAUUACUGACGCUGAUGCACGAAAGCGUGGGGAUCAAACAGGAUUAGAUACCCUGGUAGUCCACGCAGUAAACGAUGAUCACUAGCUGUUUGCGAUACACUGUAAGCGGCACAGCGAAAGCGUUAAGUGAUCCACCUGGGGAGUACGCCGGCAACGGUGAAACUCAAAGGAAUUGACGGGGGCCCGCACAAGCGGAGGAACAUGUGGUUUAAUUCGAUGAUACGCGAGGAACCUUACCCGGGUUUGAACGCAUUCGGACCGAGGUGGAAACACCUUUUCUAGCAAUAGCCGUUUGCGAGGUGCUGCAUGGUUGUCGUCAGCUCGUGCCGUGAGGUGUCGGCUUAAGUGCCAUAACGAGCGCAACCCUUGCCACUAGUUACUAACAGGUAAAGCUGAGGACUCUGGUGGGACUGCCAGCGUAAGCUGCGAGGAAGGCGGGGAUGACGUCAAAUCAGCACGGCCCUUACAUCCGGGGCGACACACGUGUUACAAUGGCGUGGACAAAGGGAGGCCACCUGGCGACAGGGAGCGAAUCCCCAAACCACGUCUCAGUUCGGAUCGGAGUCUGCAACCCGACUCCGUGAAGCUGGAUUCGCUAGUAAUCGCGCAUCAGCCAUGGCGCGGUGAAUACGUUCCCGGGCCUUGUACACACCGCCCGUCAAGCCAUGGGAGCCGGGGGUACCUGAAGUCCGUAACCGCGAGGAUCGGCCUAGGGUAAAACUGGUGACUGGGGCUAAGUCAUA